rnacentral:misc_RNA from 1 species
GAUGAAGAAAGCAGCGAAAUGCGAUACGUAAUGUGAAUUGCAAAUUCAGUGAAUCAUCGAGUCUUUGAACGCACAUUGCGCCCCCUGGUAUUCCGGGGGGCAUGCCUGUCCGAGCGUCAUUGCUGCCCUCAAGCACGGCUUGUGUGUUGGGCCCCGUCCUCCGAUUCCGGGGGACGGGCCCGAAAGGCAGCGGCGGCACCGCGUCCGGUCCUCGAGCGUAUGGGGCUUUGUCACCCGCUCUGUAGGCCCGGCCGGCGCUUGCCGAUCAACCCAAAUUUUUAUCCAGGUUGACCUCGGAUCAGGUAGGGAUACCCGCUGAACUUAAGCAUAUCAAUAAGCGGAGGA